CCUACGGGAGGCAGCAGUGAGGAAUAUUGGUCAAUGGACGCAAGUCUGAACCAGCCAUGCCGCGUGCAGGAAGACGGCUCUAUGUGUUGUAAACUUCUUUUGUCCGAGGGUAAACGCAUAUACGCGUAUCUGUCUGAAAGUAUCUUACGAAUAAGGAUCGGCUAACUCCGUGCCAGCAGCCGCGGUAAUACGGAGGAUUCAAGCGUUAUCCGGAUUUAUUGGGUUUAAAGGGUGCGUAGGCGGUCGGUUAAGUUAGAGGUGAAAGCCCGAGGCUCAACUUCGGAAUUGCCUUUGAUACUGGUCGGCUAGAGAGUAGGUGCGGUAGGCGGAAUGUGUGGUGUAGCGGUGAAAUGCUUAGAGAUCAUACAGAACACCGAUUGCGAAGGCAGCUUACCAAGCUACUUCUGACGUUGAGGCACGAAAGCGUGGGGAGCAAACAGGAUUAGAGACCCGAGUAGUC
rnacentral:rRNA from 1 species